rnacentral:tRNA from 1 species
GUUGUCGUAGCUCAACGGUAGAGCGAGCAGCUGUUAACUGCUAGAACCCGGUUCGACCCCGGGCGAUGACUGCA